rnacentral:rRNA from 1 species
GGAGUUAGCCGGUGCUUCUUCUGUGAGUGAUGUCCUUCCUGCCGGUUAUUGACCCGCAGGCCUUCUUCCUCACUGAAAGUGCUUUACAACCCGAAGGCCUUCUUCACACACGCGGCAUGGCUGGAUCAGGGUUGCCCCCAUUGUCCAAUAUUCCCCACUGCUGCCUCCCGUAGGAGUCUGGGCCGUGUCUCAGUCCCAGUGUGGCUGAUCAUCCUCUCAGACCAGCUACGGAUCGUCGCCUUGGUGAGCCGUUACCUCACCAACCAGCUAAUCCGACAUAGGCUCAUCCGAUAGCGCGAGGCCCGAAGGUCCCCCGCUUUCCCCCGUAGGGCGUAUGCGGUAUUAGCCUGGGUUUCCCCAGGUUAUCCCCCACUACCGGGCAUAUUCCUAUGCAUUACUCACCCGUCCGCCGCUCGCCACCAGGGAGCAAGCUCCCCGUGCUGCCGCUCGACUUGCAUGUGUUAGGCCUGCCGCCAGCGUUCAAUCUGAGCAUAAUACAACUACUGA